UACGUAGGGUGCGAGCGUUGUCCGGAAUUAUUGGGCGUAAAGAGCUUGUAGGUGGUUUGUCGCGUCUGCUGUGAAAAUCCGAGGCUCAACCUCGGACUUGCAGUGGGUACGGGCAGACUAGAGUGUGGUAGGGGAGACUGGAAUUCCUGGUGUAGCGGUGGAAUGCGCAGAUAUCAGGAGGAACACCCGAUGGCGAAGGCAGGUCUCUGGGCCAUUACUGACGCUGAGGCGACGAAAGCGUGGGGAGCAAACGGG
rnacentral:rRNA from 1 species